UGGGGAAUAUUGGACAAUGGGGCGAAAGCCUGAUCCAGCCAUGCCGCGUGUGUGAAGAAGGUCUUCGGAUUGUAAAGCACUUUAAGUUGGGAGGAAGGGCAGUAAGCUAAUACCUUGCUGUUUUGACGUUUACCGACAGAAUAAGCACCGGCUAACUCUGUGCCCG
rnacentral:rRNA from 1 species